UGUUAUGUGGCUUGGUCCGUUAACGCGCCGGACUAGCGAUACGGAGUCGUAGGUUCGAAUCCCACCAAAAUAA
rnacentral:tRNA from 1 species